CGGACGGGUGAGUAACGCGUGAGAAUCUGCCUUCAGGUCUGGGACAACCACUGGAAACGGUGGCUAAUACCGGAUGUGCCGCAAGGUGAAAGGUUAACUGCCUGAAGAUGAGCUCGCGUCUGAUUAGCUAGUUGGUGUGGUAAGAGCGCACCAAGGCGACGAUCAGUAGCUGGUCUGAGAGGACGAUCAGCCACACUGGGACUGAGACACGGCCCAGACUCCUACGGGAGGCAGCAGUGGGGAAUUUUCCGCAAUGGGCGAAAGCCUGACGGAGCAAUACCGCGUGAGGGAGGAAGGCUCUUGGGUCGUAAACCUCUUUUCUCAGGGAAGAACACAAUGACGGUACCUGAGGAAUAAGCAUCGGCUAACUCCGUGCCAGCAGCCGCGGUAAUACGGAGGAUGCAAGCGUUAUCCGGAAUGAUUGGGCGUAAAGCGUCCGCAGGUGGCUAUGUAAGUCUGCUGUUAAAGAGUCUAGCUCAACUAGAUAAGAGCAGUGGAAACUACAUGGCUAGAGUGCGUUCGGGGCAGAGGGAAUUCCUGGUGUAGCGGUGAAAUGCGUAGAGAUCAGGAAGAACACCGGUGGCGAAGGCGCUCUGCUAGGCCGCAACUGACACUGAGGGACGAAAGCUAGGGGAGCGAAUGGGAUUAGAUACCCCAGUAGUC
rnacentral:rRNA from 1 species